CCUACGGGGGGCAGCAGUCGGGAAUAUUGCGCAAUGGAGGAAACUCUGACGCAGUGAAGCCGCGUGCAGGAAGAAGGUUUUCGGAUUGUAAACUGCUUUAGACAGGGAAGAAAAAAGACAGUACCUGUAGAAUAAGCUCCGGCUAACUACGUGCCAGCAGCCGCGGUAAUACGUAGGGAGCAAGCGUUAUCCGGAUUUAUUGGGUGUAAAGGGUGCGUAGACGGAGAAGCAAAGUAAGUGUGAAAUCCCUCGGCUUAAAUGAGGAACUGGCACUAAAACUACUUCCCUUGAGUACUGGAGAGGAAAGGUGAAUGCCUAGUGGAGCGGUGAAAUGCGGAGAUAUUAAGAGGAACACC
rnacentral:rRNA from 1 species